rnacentral:misc_RNA from 1 species
UAAUUUUAGACCUGCUCCGACUAUUUUUGUCGGGCAGGAGCUGGGAAAGUGAGCGGAACAGAAGACCCUUACUCAUCCGCAUAGCUAAUUUCGUUCGUUCGUGGUUCUUCUUUUCUUCUCCUCUCUUUGAGUGAAAUUAGUGGUUUGCUGCUAUGCGACCGGAUUUUCUAGGGAUUCCUUUUCUUCGCCUAACAUUUUGCCCCAACCCUAAAAUUUUCACCGUCAAGAUAGUAGCCGGAACUGCGGUAUCCAUUUUUCUUUCCUCUGUGUUAAUUACUAACACAGACUCCAUGUCUUAGGCCAUAAGAACACAGUACCCCUGCGAUUCUAUGCAUAUAUAUAAGGUGUAACUGGAAAGCGAACUUCUCGUCUCCCUAAGAAAACAUGGAUAAUGAGGUAAUCGAGUUUG